AUCUUUGAUGGUAAAAGAAGCAAUGACAGAGAAAAACACAAAAACAACUGAAUACAAAUACCUAAAGCUCAAUGAAUUGCAGGCUAAUACAACGGUUAAUGUGUUUGGUGUCGUCAAAUUCGCCAGACCACCUACAAAGACUAGAGGAUCGGACUUCAGUAUGGUGUUGAGUAUUAUUGAUCCUUCUCUUCACGAAAAUGAUCAAAAGCUCAAGUGCCUCUUGUUCCAUAGAGAAAAGGAUAAAUUACCAUUCCUGGAUGUUGGAAAGAUUGUCAGGCUACAUCGACUAAAGAUCACCCAGUUUCAUGGAGACUUACAGGGACAGAGUGGACCGGGGUUUUCCUGGCUGGCCUUUGAUGAAGAUAGGGAAUCUCCAACCAGACCAGUGUCAUCAAGCUCAAACUUCACCUUUACUGAAGCUGACAUAAACAGGGUUUGGUUACACUCCAUCUCAUGAUGAUGCUAAUGAUAGCAUUCAACAUUAGGCUUUACAGCAUGCAGUUCUAGUUCUAGAUCAUGUGUUAUUAUAGAUGAUACAGUAAUAAUUCAGUACAUGAAUUGGUAUAACGUUUUGAUAGGUUAAAGAACUACGGGAAUGGGUGGCCUCUCGUGACGACCUUCAACAGCCAAACAAGACCUGCUUUGCAGACAUGGUUCCCCAACAAUAUUAUGAUGUUUACUGUCAGGUUUUAGCAACUUGUGUAUUAGAGGAGAAUGUUGGUUUUCUGUUACGAGUCUGGGAUGGAACAAAGCCAAUGAACCCUGUGCGAGAGUUUGACAUCUCAGCGGCUGAUUUGGUUGUGGAUAAGAGACAGGAUCUGCUGGAUGUGGCAGGGAACCUGGCCCUAGAUGUAGCCCUGUAUGAUGAUCAUUACACAACAGGAAAAAACAUCAAACCAGGACAGUAUAUAAAGUUAAACAACCUUCAUGCUGCCAAGUUUCAUUCUGCUGACACCCGCCCAGAAUUGUCAGAAUUACCCAUGAUUGAGCUCGUCAUACAUCGCGGCACAGCCUAUGGAAGAGGUGUGCACCUAAUAAACAAUGACUUUGUGGGAUUAAAGACACUCAAAGAAAGACUUGAGAAAGUAUCAGAGGAAGUAAGAAGGACAGCUGAAAUAACAUCAACUUCUUCAAAUGAAGAAGAAUGUAGAGUGUUAGAGCAUUCCAGAAACUGUGCAAGUCCAGAAAGUGAUAUCUCUUUCAGUCAACCCUCAGUAGACUUAUCUUGUUAUAAUAGCAGUAAAGAAAGAUUCACCUCACAGGAAGUGGAGAUGGAGUUGUCAUGUGACCUGCCUAGCCAAUCACAAUCUCAUAAGAGUAGACCACAUGAGGAAACCGACCAAUCAGAUUCACAAAUGUCUCAGACUAUUGCAAGGUGUAUGCUUCAAACAUCAACAGUUGUUUUGAACCAUCCCCAUGUUCAGUGCACAAAGAUAAAGGAUGUACUGACUCAUAAAGUUCCGUACAAAUUCCGGAUUCUCGCUAGAGUGUUGGAGUAUUUCCCGAGGUUUAGUCAACCAUCUGACAUCUGUAAACUUUACUGCACGGAAUGCGACCAUUUGUGUGAUGUCCCUAACAAUAAAAAUAUUGCAAAAGACCUGAAGAUCAGCCGAAGCAGCAGACAUAUAAAUCAUUACUUCUGUCCAGAAUGUAGCAAAGAUUCACAAUGUGAAUUGGAGUAUAUCUUUAUGAUGAGAUUUCUGUUGAGUGACAGUACAGGGGAAUUAGUGGCAAAUGUUUGGAGGAGAGAUGCAGUGACAUUUUUCCAAGACAUCACUCCAGUAGAAAUGUUCACAGAGUCGAUGCUGUGUAAUUUGGUCAAGAAGGGCCUCGGGGCGAUCUCUACCCCCUCUGGUCCCUGGUUCGAAUGCUGUGUGAAAUCUUAUAGAACGCUCAGUGGAGUCCGCUACCAAAUAUUUGACACGUGUUUAGUUUAAGAAUUAAAAAAAAUUAUUAAAAAAAAUACUUUAAAAGAGUUUUUUCUUUAUAUUUCAUGUACACUGGCUUUGGUUUUAUAUACAGAAAAUUCAU
rnacentral:misc_RNA from 1 species